UAUCACAAAACCAGUCAUUUCAUGGAAUGACUGAAAUUUUCAGUCAUUUUUUAAAAUGACUCCUUCACUCACUGAUUUGGCAAAAUGACUAAAAGUUUCAUGCGUUUUAUGAAAUGACUGACGUGCUGGAUAUUCUGCUACACUAUUUGACUGUUUCAUUCGGUAACAGGCAUAUUGUGAAAAAGGAGUUGCUGGAGAAGGAUCCUUUGCUUUUUUUCUGCAGUCACUGCUGAAGAAGGCUCUGAAUUUUGAAAGUAGCUUCAGGAAAGAACUUUACAAAAAGUAUAGGAAGUUCCCAACUACCUGAUACUUAAGGAAUAAUGCUGUGCAACUACUGCUGAGAUCUAAAAUGCAAGCCGAGAUCCCAAAUCAAUGCCCAGAUAGAGUACUACCUGCUUGCCAGAGAUAUGAAAUUCUACACUGUCGUGACAAUAUUUCUAAUCAAGAAAUGUUGGACUAAAGAAGCAUCUCCCAUAUUCUAUGUUAGAGCAGCAGGGCGCGGGAGUGCAGUUCAUCAAAGCCAUUGUAUUGAUGCUGAUGCAUAAACUGUCUGGCAUGGGAUACCACGGAGUAACAAAGAAGAAUGAACACUGAGAGAUACAGAAGAUAGAAGAGACAUGAUGGAUAGUGUUGA